rnacentral:tRNA from 1 species
GGAGAGAUGGCCGAGUGGUCGAAGGCGGCACCCUGCUAAGGUGUUAUACUCGAAAGGGUAUCGAGGGUUCGAAUCCCUCUCUCUCCGCCA